GACGAACGCUGGCGGCGUGCCUAACACAUGCAAGUCGAGCGAAGUGGGUACUACGGUACGAACUUAGCGGCGGACGGGUGAGUAACGCGUGGACAAUCUACCCUGUAGACUGGGAUAACACCUCGAAAGGGGUGCUAAUACCGGAUAAUGUCGAGAAGCGGCAUCGCUUUUCGAAGAAAGGAGAGAAUCCGCUAUAGGAGGAGUCCGCGUCCCAUUAGCUAGUUGGUGAGGGUAACGGCCCACCAAGGCGACAAUGGGUAGCCGGCCUGAGAGGGUGAACGGCCACACUGGAACUGAGACACGGUCCAGACUCCUACGGGAGGCAGCAGUGGGGAAUAUUGUGCAAUGGGGGAAACCCUGACCCAGCAACGCCGCGUGAGCGAAGAAGGCCUUCGGGUUGUAAAGCUCAAUAGUAUGGGAAGAUAAUGACGGUACCAUACGAAAGCCCCGGCUAACUACGUGCCAGCCGCCGCCGUAACAC
rnacentral:rRNA from 1 species